rnacentral:rRNA from 1 species
GACGAACGCUGGCGGCGUGCUUAACACAUGCAAGUCGAACGGUGAAGCGCCUUCCUUUUUGGUGGGUGUGGAUGAGUGGCGAACGGGUGAGUAACACGUGAGUAACCUGCCCUCUUCUUCUGGAUAACCGCAUGAAAGUGUGGCUAAUACGGGAUAUUCUGGGUCUGUCGCAUGAUGGGUCUGGGAAAGAUAUUGUUUCGGUGUGGGAUGGGCUCGCGGCCUAUCAGCUUGUUGGUGGGGUGAUGGCCUACCAAGGCGGUGACGGGUAGCCGGCCUGAGAGGGUGGACGGUCACACUGGGACUGAGACACGGCCCAGACUCCUACGGGAGGCAGCAGUGGGGAAUAUUGCACAAUGGGCGCAAGCCUGAUGCAGCGACGCCGCGUGAGGGAUGGAGGCCUUCGGGUUGUGAACCUCUUUCGCCAGUGAAGCAGGCCUGCCUCGUUUGUGGGUGGGUUGACGGUAGCUGGAUAAGAAGCGCCGGCUAACUACGUG